CGCCGCCGGCGGGGCGGUGCCGAUCAGCCCUUCCCGGGCCGGCCCCUGCGCUGCGCCCCGGUUCCGCUGCGGAGCGGGGGGCUGCUUUGCGGGGCUGCGACUGCGCACCCCCCCGGCCCCGCCCGCUCAUUACAACCCCAGCCUGCAAAGGGCUCCCGGGGACACCAGCGGCGGCCGCGGCUGCUCCCUGAGUUCCCGCGGAGCAAGCGGCUGCAAGGAGGAGGCUUGUCCUGCAAGCCUGAGAGACGAUGCUCCGGGAUCGAGAGUUGUCAAGAGUCUCACCGAUUUCUUCUGAGGCGGAGUAACGCCGCAGACCUUCCUGUAACACGGCCUGGGGCCCUGGCAGCACAGCUCCGUCGCGUCUCUCACCGCUAAAUCGCCCGCGCAAAAGGGGAGCGCCAAACAACGGCUCGACUAUUGCAUUCCUUUUAGCCCUUCGCUACUCUGUAUAACACGCACAACAACCGGAAUAGCUCCCCUCUGCAUCUAAAAGAUGGGGGGGGCCCCCCCCCGCAGGUCUCAGAAGAGAUGGGCCUGCUCAAGCCACAGAAUUCGGAUCUUGAUCCAGAGAUUCCACAAUCCAGAGGAGAAGGUGAUGCCUACUGGAAUAAUAGCCAUGUGAGCUGUUGUGAAGUCUGACCGAAUAUUAACGUCCUUGCAAAGACUGAGUUUCUUCUGCCUGCUGAAGCAGAAAAAUAUUCUGAAGAAAAACACACCAUAACCUUAAUAUGAAAGAUAAAAUUAGCAAUUCCAAGGGAACAUUAGAAGGAAGCUGCUGCCAUUGCUGCCUUGAGGUAUUCCCCCUCCACACCCUUGGAAUACAUGAACCAGAUAAGGAGGAGAAAGAAGAUGACUCAGGAAGACACGGUCUGCGAAAUUUUGCCAGUGCUGCAUCAGACUGUGAGCAAAGGGUGUGGAGGGUGAACAUUGUAGACCGCCUGUAGAAGGAAAGAGCUUUCAGGAGAAAGGCCCAGGAGUCCCACCAGGAAAAGGAGAGUGAAAUGCACCGGGACAUAAUGGGACUUCACUGUCAGCAAACACAGAUGCUACAGACUCUUGUGGACCAACAGUUGAGCAAUCACAGGCUUGCCUCCCUUGGCAGUCCAUGGAGAACUCCAUUGCAGCACCUCCCUCCACCACACCCCAACAUUCCACAUGGUAUCAGGGGCACAUCCCUUCCGCUAUCACUCCACCCUGGUGGACAUUAAGGAUAGCCACAGCUUCACAUACACUGAUCCUUGAAAGCCACAGUUGCUGUAUGUGUAGGCAAAAUGGACAUGAAUGUUCUUUCCCUUUAGUAAGUUCUUUUCCAUUAACUUAUUAAGUUCUUAAUGUAUUUGAUUUUCAGUUGCACAGAUUUUUCUUUGCACAGAUUUUGUUACUGAAUAAAAUUACAUUAUUUGG